ACUAGCGAGCGAGGGGUUCAGAGUGCCCUCGAUCCCCAUCCAGGAUCCUUUCGCCGCCGCCCUCGCUCGCACAUCAAGCGCCCUCGAUCCUGCGCCGCCGAACCUUCGCCGUCAGCGAUCCCUUCGGGACUCCUCCGCCAGCCAUGCUUUGCCCUCCUCUGUGUGCUGGUGGUGGUGAUGCAGCGCGUCAUCGAUCGCGAGAUCUGCAAGCCCAAGUACCGCUGCGCUUGGGCCUGUGUCGACACGGCCGCGGACGGCGGUUGCAGGACGACCGAAUGCGGCCUCCAGUACUCAACGCAAGAUCAGAUCGGCACCUGCCCGAUCCCCAUCCGAGUCCAGGGCAGGCCGUGCCGUCCGCGGUGACCGGCCAUGCUUCAGCCUUCAGCUGCUCCGGCCUGAGUCUAGGGCCGUCAGGACCACCUCCCAGCCGUUCGACGGUUUGCCUGACUCGGCUUCCAGCAUGUAUGUAUGAUCGGUCAUACCCCGCUGCCUUCCUCUUCACCGGAGCCAAGUAUGUAUGAUCUAUCAUUGUACAUUAGCUAGCUAGGAGAUGUCAUGUUCGUGCUUUUUGUCAUCUUCCUGAACACGCAUCUGAAUGUUUGUGCAUUGGAAUUGCGGGUCUUUCGGAUUAACUGUUCCAUGCUACGGCCUUAGUUUUUAAUUUGACUGACUAUCUACAAUUCUACACAUGCUCUCCAAGAUUGUUCCUGUGAGUUUCUUUAAAACCUAUUUGCACACCUAGCUAGAUCAUACAGCUGAUAACGUAUGGAGUUUUUUUUGAGAUCUGUUUAUCUCAGGGCUCUGACACGCUGGUUCCAUUUAAACAGUUUUUAGAGCUAGCAUUUUUCUGUUUUUUAUAUGGAUGAUAUGCAAAAGUAUUUGACACUGCAUUUUUUUUACCCAUAACUUGGUUGUGUUAAUUAAUAGUACAAACUACAUUGGACUUGUAUGUGGAUUUGAUUUGGACUUUCUGUAGAUAGUCGGCUAAACGGUAUUACUUCUAAUCAUCAGUAACUUGUAUGUGGAUUUGAUUUGGACUUUCUGUACAUAAUUUUUUAAUAAAAAACACAUAUUAACUUAGUUAUCUAAAGUAAUUCCUUUUCAUUUAUAUAACCUUAUGACUUAGAUACACAGUUCUUGUGGCACCAGCGGCCAACUGGGAUAACAAACAAACCAGUGCAUGACAAUCUGAAGAGCCAGCAGGGGAAGUGAGUCACCUAUGAGAUAUGCACAACAGCACAACCCUCAGGCAGAAAACUAUCCCCCCAUUGGUGGUUAGCUGAUCUCAGUAUCUUAUGUACUGCAUGAAACUUAUAGGGAAGCUCAUGUGAAAUAUGACUUUAGACAGCCUGUGUACAUGGUCAGCAAGCCACCUAUGGGACCACUGUUUUCCUGUAGUAUAUUUUCUUUGUAUUAAUAUGAACUGCAGAUCUCUUUUUUUGUUGAUAUCUUCGCUGGCGUAAUGCAUCUGAUCGGUAAGCAUUAGGAUUCAUUCAUUGUCUUUCUUUUGCUGGUUUUAGCGAAGGUGUAUUCAUGUGAGCCGAUCGAAUUCCUUCCUUUUCUUGCCUUCAACUAUCUGAUGCAUGUUGCUUAUGGUUUUUUAGUCAUCAAUUUACCUUUCCGUGCAAAAACAUAUGUACCUUUGCCAUUUCUUUUGCAGAUACUGGUGAUGAGCUCAACAACAGCAUCAUUGUUGGUAAAUACCAUCAGCACUUACAGUCUACUCCACCUACAAAGAGCUAUGGCAAGGUGCACACUUUAGUGAUGAGCUGGGAAGAGAAUGAAGUUUCUUUUUUAUCUUGUCUGGUCGUAGAUCGAGUGACAUGAAGGAUGCUGGCUGUUGGUGCUCGUUCAUCAGGAUCAUCUGAAUAAUGUUUUUCCAACACAUUCUGAUGUCUUCUCAAUUGUGCACCGGGCUCUUCUUUUAGCCAAGGACUUCUGAUAAAUAAUAAUCUAGGCAAUAGUUGAAUCCCAAGGACCCAUUGAAUUUAGAAAUGGACUCUUAUGAUGUCUGACCCCAGAAAUUCCAAUAAGCAGAGACGAUGUUUUAUUUUCUUUGUCGGUGACACAACCAAAGGGAACAUAUGAUAUUGUUACAUGCAAACUAAAAGAUAUAGCAGGAAAUGGCAAACCAGAAGGAUGAGUUAGCCGAAAAGUUUCUAGCUGAUUACCGAGGUACUACUCAACCAUAAAUCUGUAGGAAUUUCUGUUGUUUUGCGAGCAGAGAGUGGAUACUUAUAAGGAGGAAGUUGAAGGUAACUUUGAAAUAUAUAUCAACCAUUGCUCUAUUUUGUUUUUUCUGUGGUUAGGACCAUAUUUUGACCAUAAAAUCACACAAAAUGGUUUUGUUCCCUCCUUGCAUUUUCCUCUGUUUCCUUUUACUUCUGCCGCAAAACGAUUUCUACACAUAGCUAUGUGUGGAUGAAAUUUCCUAUGCCUUUUUAUUCUGUAUGAUGAGCUUCUCUCACCUUACCCACACUACUAAAUAUUUUGUUUUGCUAUAUCAUAUGAAUUGAGCAGGAAAUGCUUCCUUCACUUGCACCUUUUGUUUGAUGUUGGUUGUCUGUCAAUUUUUUUUGUACAUUACUAAGGAUACACUUCGACUUACCAUUAUUUUUUCUUUCCUCAUGUUAUUUUGAAGCGAUGCCAACGCUUGCAAAGGAAGUGACUUUAGCUGCAACUAGCAAGAUGUUGACUAAUUCACCCUCUGUCGCUGCUCCUGCCAAAGCUUGCUUCUCUUUUGGUAGCAAGAGAAGUCUCAAGGUCGAAUUUUGGGGCCGGGAAGCACUAGGUUCUCUGGUGGCCUACCACUAAGUAUCAAAGGCAUUUUCAUAUGGUUUUUUCCCGUCUGUAAGAUGGCAAUUCCAUUUACCAACCGUAAGGUAUGGUGCUUUCUUAAUUGAUGUAAAUGAAGGUAGCUCAAGAAUAUCUCAAUUCGCAUCAUGCAUUAGUACUCCAUAGUGUGUAUAUGUGUACUUGUAUUGAGAAUUUAGCUGGUACUCCCUCCCUCCGUCUUAUAUUGUGGGACGAAGUAGUAUUUAUUUAGAACAUGUUAUACAAAAAAGAGUGGCGUUAGAUGGUGUACUAUUUAUUUUGGUUGUCCCAAACAAACUCUGCGCUAUAUCAUUCUUUCUGCUACUUAGAGCCUCUUUGAUUCAAAGAAUUUUUCUACUACAAUUAGGACAACAUUGGUCUUCAUCUUGUUGGACACCCCCGUUUGGCGUCUGUUUGAUGUCCAUCCGGACAUACGAGCAAGAAAUGAGUUUCGACCUUAAAGAUGAUCUUAUUCAUUUGUUCGAUUCAUAUUUAUGUAUUAUAGCCCGUAGCAACGCACGGGCGUUCUACUAUAUGAGAUAGUGCAUCACUGAGCCAGGUUUGAAGAUUAUUUCUCCAACGAUGUGGAGCCGCUGACGCUUACUCUCCCUGAAGACUCAGUGGCCAGCUCAGGCAUUUGUCCCAGCUAUGCUGCUUCCCAUCAAACUCGAGCUCAGCGCUCCGUCUGCACUCGAGCACAGCUGUCGGCCAUCAGCUCGCUCGAGCAAACACCCUGGCCGUCCACGCACGAUCUCCUCCCAGCCUUCUGACGUGUUAUUUUUGCAUGGAAGGCUAAGCUAUCUCCACCGGCUCCUUUUUCUGUUCGAGCUCCUCCCUACCCUGGCAAAACCAAAUGCUACCAUCUCCUUUCCUUGGCAUGCUAAAACUUAUGUCAGUUCAUUGUCAUGGAUAGAUUAGUGAGAAUGAGAUUGGGAUCUUUACACUACAGAGGACGAGGAGCUAUAUGGGCUACGACAUGUUGCUUGAGGUGUGGUUCUGGGACCUGCUGUUGUUCAAAUUAUAGUUCCCUUAUUUAGAACUAGGCAUUCCCACUGAUACUGACCAUACUUGGAGCAUUUCCAGCAGUGGCAGUAGACACAUGUGGCACCACUUCUUGGUAGAUUUUGUCCAUUUACUUUUUGUAUCCUUUGAAUUAGAAUAUUCUCUGCAAGAUUUGAGUUUGAAUCUGGUCAAAUUAUUCUUGUACUCUUUGAAUUUAAAUAAUGUCUCGUAUCUUACUAAAUUUUGUUUUGUACUGGAAGUAUUUAUUUUCUUCAAAUUCUCCAAUGAUUCUGAAACAUAGCGGUAA